UGGGGAAUAUUGGACAAUGGGCGCAAGCCUGAUCCAGCAAUGCCGCGUGGGUGAAGAAGGCCUUCGGGUUGUAAAGCCCUUUCAGCAGGGAAGAAAAGCCGCUUGCGAACAGUGAGUGGUGCUGACGGUACCUGCAGAAGAAGCACCGGCUAACUCCGUGCCAGCAGCCGCGGUAAUACGGAGGGUGCAAGCGUUAAUCGGAAUUACUGGGCGUAAAGGGCGCGUAGGCGGCUGUUUAAGUCGGGUGUGAAAGCCCCGGGCUCAACCUGGGAAUUGCAUUCGAUACUGGAUGGCUGGAGUGUGGUAGAGGGAAGCGGAAUUCCGGGUGUAGCGGUGAAAUGCGUAGAUAUCCGGAGGAACAUCAGUGGCGAAGGCGGCUUCCUGGACCAACACUGACGCUGAGGCGCGAAAGCGUGGGGAGCAAACAGGAUUAGAUACCCCCGUAGUCC
rnacentral:rRNA from 1 species